UACAGAGGUCUCAACCGUUGUUCGGAUUCAUUGGGCGUAAAGGGUGCGUAGGCGGUCGCGCAAGUCGGAUGUGAAAUCUCAGGGCUCAACCCUGAAACUGCAUUCGAUACUGCGUGGCUAGAGUGCUGGAGAGGUGAGUGGAAUUUCCGGUGUAGCGGUGAAAUGCGUAGAUAUCGGAAAGAACACCAACGGCGAAAGCACUCUGCUGGGCCGACACUGACACUGAGAGACGAAAGCUAGGGGAGCGAAUGGG
rnacentral:rRNA from 1 species